CUUUGUUGUUGCUCUUCGUUAAGACAAGGUCAUGACUUUCAGAAUGAAUGACUAGAGUUCAUAUUUCUCUCUUUAUUUCUCUGUCUGUCUCUCUGUCUCUCUGUCUCUCUCUCUCCCUCUCUCUCUUUAUUUCUUUGCCUCUCUAUCUCACCCUGUUACCUCCUCUCUCGCUCUCUCUAACUGUGCAAAUGAAGCUGCUACUUUAUCCCUUAGAGUGUGUGUGUGUACGCGCUUGUGCUUGUUUGGGUGUGUGUACGUGCUUGUGCUUGUUUGGGUGUGUGUACGCGCUUGUGCUUGUUUGGGUGUGUAUACGCGCUUGUGCUUGUUUGGGUGUGUGUACGCGCUUGUGCUUUUUGGGUGUGUGUGUGUGUGUGUGUGUGUGUGUGUGUGUGUGUGUGUGUGUGUGUGUGUGUGUGUGUGUCCUGCAGCAUGUCAUUGUUCCCAGCUGAGCCCUUAUCAAACACAGAUCCUGUGACCAGACACACACAAAAACACACACGGACUCACUCCUCUCUUGUAACCAACUUACUGUUUGCCUAGUACAGAAGUGGGAUCUUAAUUUGAGCCAGUUUGCUUCAGCAGGAAAAUUAACCUGCAGCAAUAGGAAAUGUGUAAUAUUAGGUGGAUUAUAAUUAAUGGACUUUUUUUGUAGGGUUUGAUACAUUUUUCAUUAGGGGAAAUCAAGUCAGACAUUUAAAGUGGAACUGGAACCUUGAAUACACUGGGUGUUUGCAUUUCCUGCUAUGCAGGUCAAUUCUCAGCAACAAAAGCCUGAUCAAAUUAAGAUCCUACAUCUGUAUCGUGUACAGGGUGCAGCGGUAGAGCCUAAUGAAUAGUGACAGAUGGAGCUGGGAUACCGGGACAGACCUAUCUGUCGCUGGGGGAGUGUGUGUAUGUGUGUGUGUGUUUGGUUUUACUACCCUUGUGGGGACCAGAAGUCCUGACAAAGUUAGCUAAACAAGGGGGUGAAAGUGGGGGCAUUUUACCGUUCCCCACAAUAAAAAAGGCUAUUUUCUGCUUCGAUAUAUUCACUCCCAAAUCUGAUAAGAAAUGGAAUGUCAUCAUGUUUUGGUCGUGGAGAAAAAGCAGCUGUUUUUAUCUGUAGCUGGAAUCACUAGUUA
ensembl:lncRNA